CAAGUUCACAUAAGUCAAAGUCAAAGUCAAAGUCAAAAUCAUUUAUUUCAAAUAGACCAGGAAGGCACUUUUGAACGUCAAAGCAAAUAUAAUAAUAUUAAUAACGUCUGUCUGUCGGUCAGUCCUCUAGUGAAGCUAUUUGCUCGUUCCAAAGUGUAGAUUCCUAUGGAGAAGAACGAGCAAGAAACUCCAUAGGUUACUCUUUUUCAAUCAGAUUCACAAUACAAUACUUGGUUACAUUGUUUCGUUGC